rnacentral:tRNA from 1 species
AUAGCUCAGUUGGUGAAGAGCACGUUCCAUGGUAAGGAACGUUAGGUCACCGGUUCAAGCGCCGGGUUGGAA